rnacentral:rRNA from 1 species
CGCCACAGCCAUAUCACCCUGCACCCUGGUUACUCACUGAAGCUAAGCAGGGCUGAACCUGGUCAGUACCUGGAUGGGUAACCACAUGGUAAAACUAGGUUGCUGUUGGAA